AUUGAACGCUGGCGGCAGGCCUAACACAUGCAAGUCGAACGAGUGGCGGACGGGUGAGUAAUGUAUGGGAAACUGCCCGAUAGAGGGGGAUAACUACUGGAAACGGUAGCUAAUACCGCAUACCAUCGGAUGAGCCCAUAUGGGAUUAGCUAGUGGGUGGGGUAAGGGCUCACCUAGGCGACGAUCCCUAGCUGGUCUGAGAGGGUGACCGCCCACACUGGAACUGAGACACGGCCCAGAUUCCUACGGGAGGCAGCAGUGGGGAAUAUUGCACAAGGGGCGCAAGCCGGAUACAGCCAUGCCGCGUGUAGGAAGAAGGCCUUAGGGUUGUAAAGUACUUUCAGCGGGGAGGCGUUACCCGCAGAAGAAGCACCGGCUAACUCCGUGCCAGCAGCCGCGGUAAUUC
rnacentral:rRNA from 1 species